ensembl:lncRNA
CUCUUUCAAGGGUUUUGGACUGAAUAGGGAGGUGGGAAAGAAGUGUGUAGUUGGAAAUGCAUACUCCUUCCAUUUCGAUGUGUUAACAAGGGUGUGAGAGCUGCUGAUUUAACACUAACCCCUCUCUCUAUCUAUCUCUCCCUUAUUCACUUGCUCCCUUCGUCCCUUCCUCCUCUCCCCCCCCCGCCUCCCUGUCCUUGCUCACUCUGAUGCUGAUGUGUGUGUGUCGCCUGGGUCUGACGUCUCUCUCUCUCUCUCUCUCUCUCUCUCUGUACAUCUCUGAGUGUGUGUGUAAACAGGAUGAUGGAAGCUCACUCUCGUCCUCAAACCAUCACAUCAUCGUAAGGAGGAAGUGAUGUCACAGUGAAUAUGUAACACACUGUGACGUUUGCGUACGUCAUGCAGCUCGAUGAAACAGACAGUGUAUUUGCUGAUCUGAACUCGGUGAUUCCUGAGACAGAGCUGCUGGAUAACAGCAUACAGAAGAGCCGAGCACCGCUACCGCUGAAGAGCAGGAGGAACCGACCAUCACGCUCGCGUCUCACUGACAGCCUGAGCUCCACCGAGGGGACGAGGGGCCCGACACCAGGUCUGCAGACACGCCCCUCCACUCAGCUCCAGUGCACUCGUUCCUCCGUGACUCCACCCUCACGCCAGAGCUCCUCCUCUCCUCCUUUGACGCUGCCCUCGCGCGCAGAUCUCCGGAGGACCCUAAAGCUCAUCGUUACCGUCAGCUCACCAACACCACAUCCCACGAUGCACUGCUGCCCCCCGUCCCGCCCUCCCCCUGCAGGUCAUGUCCCGAAACCUCCCCUGUGCACUUCCGCAGGGGCCGACGCCCUGAAAGUGAAGUGUUGGUGUCAGAUGAAGUCAGGAUGAUAAUAUAGUCCCGAGUCCGACAGUCCCACUGUGGUUUCUGGAUAAAAACCAAACGGAGGUUCCUGGAUUUGGGUUUGA